AGAGUUUGAUCCUGGCUCAGAACGAACGCUGGCGGCGUGCCUAACACACGCAAGUCGAACGAGAUCUUCGGAUCGAGUGGCGGACGGGUGAGUAUAACAUAGGCAACCUGCCCAUCAAUGGGGGAUACCCAGCCGAAAGGUUGGCUAAUACCGCAUACGCUCAUCAUCUGGAAUGGUGGUGAGGAAAGAUUUAUCGUUGAUGGAUGGGCCUAUGGUCGAUUAGCUAGUUGGUGAGGUAAUGGCUCACCAAGGCGACGAUCGAUAGCUGGUCUGAGAGGAUGAUCAGCCACACUGGGACUGAGACACGGCCCAGACUCCUACGGGAGGCAGCAGUGGGGAAUUUUCCGCAAUGGGCGAAAGCCUGACGGAGCGACGCCGCGUGGAGGAUGACGGUCUUCGGAUUGUAAACUCCUGUCAAGGGGGACGAUAAUGACGGUACCCCUGGAGGAAGCAUCGGCUAACUACGUGCCAGCAGCCGCGGUAAGACGUAGGAUGCGAGCGUUGUUCGGAUUUAUUGGGCGUAAAGCGUGCGUAGGCGGCUGUUUAAGUCUGGUGUUAAAGCUAGGGGCUCAACCCCUGUGAUGCACUGGAAACUGGGCAGCUUGAGUGUGGUAGGGGAAGGUGGAAUUCCUAGUGUAGCGGUGAAAUGCGUAGAUAUUAGGAAGAACACCGGUGGCGAAGGCGACCUUCUGGGCCACUACUGACGCUGAGGCACGAAAGCGUGGGGAGCAAACAGGAUUAGAUACCCUAGUAGUCC
rnacentral:rRNA from 1 species